GACGUAGGUGGCGAGCGUUAUCCGGAUUUACUGGGCGUAAAGCGCGUGCAGGUGGUGCGAUAAGUCGGGCGUGAAAUCUCCUGGCUCAACUGGGAGAGGCCGUCCGAUACUAUCGGACUUGAGGGCAGUAGAGGGAGGUGGAAUUCCGGGUGUAGUGGUGAAAUGCGUAGAUAUCCGGAGGAACACCGGUGGCGAAGGCGGCCUCCUGGACUGCCCCUGACACUCAGACGCGAAAGCUAGGGGAGCGAACGGG
rnacentral:rRNA from 1 species